AAAAAGGGGCGCUGCCUGCUUUCCCCUGACAAAAUCCCGCCCGUGGCAGGCCUUUUUUCCUAGGCGAGAGCCUGCCUUCCUUUCUCCCUGCCUCCAUUGGAGCCCACGCUGUCGGAGGGGGAGCUUCGCAGCCCACCCAAUGCCUUCCCUUUCGGGGCGGAGCAGCUCCAGCCCGGACGGAGCCGCCAGAGAGAGCCGCGAUGCAAAAGGCAGAGGCCCGGCCACGUCAGCACGACCACCCCGGGCCCCCCGAUCCCAGGCCCGGCGGCGGGGCAGCCAUGGACAUCCCCGCGGGGCACAGGCUGGAACCAUCCCUUUACACUGUCAAGGCAAUUUUUAUCAUGGACAGCUUUGGGCAGAGACUUUUGGCCAAGUAUUAUGAUGAUACAUUUCCAUCCACGAAAGAACAGAAGAGUUUUGAGAGAAAUGUCUUCAACAAAACCCACAAGACUGAUAGUGAGAUUGCUUUCUUGGAAGGACUGACCAUUGUCUAUAAAAGCAGCAUUGAUCUUUUCUUUUAUGUGGUGGGGAGUCCACAUGAAAAUGAGCUUAUGCUAACAUCAGUUCUCAGUUGUCUUUUUGAAACCCUCAACCACAUGCUGCGAAAGAAUGUGGAGAAACGAGCCCUGAUGGAGAAUAUGGAUGGGGUAUUCCUUGUGGUGGAUGAGACCGUUGACGGCGGUGUGAUUUUAGAAAGUGAUCCUCAGCAAGUCAUCCAGAAGUUAAAUUUCAGAACAGUCCCCGAGCCUGCGCCUUAUGGCUUUGUUCUCCUUGAUUACAUCGUGGGCAAUUCAGAGCACAGUGAAAUUUUGCCUGAGAUGUUCCAAAAAUAGAUAAAUGUUCUCACAAACAGGAAGCAGGAGUGGAUGACCCCUCUUUAUCAGAGCACAGUGUCACUCAGGUCCUUCAGUCUGCCAAAGAGCAAAUUAAGUGGUCCUUAUUAAAAUAAAAUACUCCAAACAAAA